rnacentral:rRNA from 1 species
AGAGUGGAUCCUGGCUCAGGACGAACGCUGACGGUGUGCUUUAGGCAUGCAAGUCGAACGAGAAAGCCCUUCGGGGUGAGUAAAGUGGCGAACGGGUGAGUAACACGUGGGCAACCUGCCCCUCGCAGGGGGACAACCGGAGGAAACUCCGGCUAAUACCCCGUACGUUCUCAGGGUCGCAUGGCCUUGGGAGGAAAGGUAGCUUCGGCCAUCCGGCGAGGGAUGGGCCCGCGGUGCAUUAGCUAGUUGGUGGGGUAACGGCUCACCAAGGCAACGAUGCAUAGCUGGUCUGAGAGGAUGAUCAGCCACACUGGGACUGAGACACGGCCCAGACUCCUACGGGAGGCAGCAGCCAGGAAUCUUGGGCAAUGGGCGCAAGCCUGACCCAGCAACACCGUGUGGGCGAUGAAGGCCUUCGGGUCGUAAAGCCCUGUUGAUAGGGACGAAGGGCGAAGGGUUAAUAGCCCCUAGCCUGACGGUACCUUUCGAGGAAGCCCCGGCUAACUACGUGCCAGCAGCCGCGGUAAUACGUAGGGGGCGAGCGUUGUCCGGAUUUAUUGGGCGUAAAGAGCGUGUAGGCGGUUCGGUAAGUCUGUCGUGAAAUCCUGAGGCUCAACCUCGGGCGUGCGAUGGAUACUGCCGGGCUAGAGGAUGGUAGAGGCGAGUGGAAUUCCCGGUGUAGCGGUGAAAUGCGCAGAUAUCGAGAGGAACACCAGUAGCGAAGGCGGCUCGCUGGGCCAUUCCUGACGCUGAGACGCGAAAGCUAGGGGAGCGAACAGGAUUAGAUACCC